rnacentral:misc_RNA from 1 species
AAGAUGAAGGCUAUCAAGCGCUUCUUUGAGGAAGGUGACAAGGUCAAGGUAACACUGCGGUUCCGUGGUCGUGAAAUGGCCCACCAGGAACUCGGAAUGCGACUGCUCGACCGGGUCAAGGAAGAUACGGUUGAGAUUUCCAAGGUCGAGGCUGAGCCACGGCUUGAAGGCCGUCAGAUGAUGAUGGUUCUGGCGCCGCGCUAAAACUGAACAUACUUUUUGACAAGAGCCGCCUUCGGGCGGCUUUUGUCUUGAACGAACUGGAUUCCAA